rnacentral:rRNA from 1 species
UACGUAGGGCGCAAGCGUUGUCCGGAAUUAUUGGGCGUAAAGAGCUCGUAGGCGGCUUGUCACGUCGGAUGUGAAAGCCCGAGGCUUAACCUCGGGUCUGCAUUCGAUACGGGCUAGCUAGAGUGUGGUAGGGGAGAUCGGAAUUCCUGGUGUAGCGGUGAAAUGCGCAGAUAUCAGGAGGAACACCGGUGGCGAAGGCGGAUCUCUGGGCCAUUACUGACGCUGAGGAGCGAAAGUGUGGGGAGCGAACAGG